rnacentral:rRNA from 1 species
CCUACGGGUGGCUGCAGUGGGGAAUAUUGGACAAUGGGCGAAAGCCUGAUCCAGCCAUGCCGCGUGUGUGAAGAAGGCCUUCGGGUUGUAAAGCACUUUCAGUGGGGAAGAAAGCCUUGGGGCUAAUACCCUCGAGGAAGGACAUCACCUACAGAAGAAGCACCGGCUAACUCCGUGCCAGCAGCCGCGGUAAUACGGAGGGUGCGAGCGUUAAUCGGAAUUACUGGGCGUAAAGCGCGCGUAGGCGGUCUGAUAAGCCGGUUGUGAAAGCCCCGGGCUCAACCUGGGAACGGCAUCCGGAACUGUCAGGCUAGAGUGCAGGAGAGGAAGGUAGAAUUCCCGGUGUAGCGGUGAAAUGCGUAGAGAUCGGGAGGAAUACCAGUGGCGAAGGCGGCCUUCUGGACUGACACUGACGCUGAGGUGCGAAAGCGUGGGUAGCAAACAGGAUUAGAUACCCCAGUAGUC